GUAGACUGGAAGGCUUAAACAGCAGAAAUUUGUUUCUCAUAAUCCUGGAGUCUGGGAAGUCCAAGAUUAAAGUGCUGGCGAGCUGGCAUGUUGCACAACCCCUGACUACAGGAAGAAACUUAAAUGCAUUCGGAGGAUUACAACACAUUCCUUAGAACUGUCCUCUAAAAUAACUUUAUUUCUCACCAACAAAAGCUAAAGGUACCAAAAACAAUAAAUUUAGACCCAGAGAAAUGAAAUCAACAUCAAAGCUACACAACAAACCUCAAGAAUCCAGAUCUCCCAAAUGCUGGACCACGGCUCUUUCUACCUCAGCAUGUUUCUUCACACAAGUCACAGAGAGGAGUGAGUGGAAGCUGACAAAGAGACUGACUUAGUCCACUGGGCUUGUGAUGCAGAAACAAUAGAUACGAUUUUAAGACAGUGAUUUUCAAUCAGUGUGCCACAAGGGGAACACUGGUGUGCCACAAUAAUUUUUAAAGCAUGCAGUACCUGACUCUCUAGUCAGGGGCACUGAUCUCUUUUCCCUUAGAUAGUCAAAUAAAAUAAUGACAGCAAGCCAACACAAUA